rnacentral:pre_miRNA from 1 species
CGUUAAGACUGUCAGUGUUUGGCUGUGUUAUAUUUUCUGCCAAAUACUGACAGUCUUACCAA